CCCCUCUCAGGACUGCACCUGGAGAGUUUCCAGUACUCUAACAGUCUUGGCUACGGGAGGGAGAGUCAAGCACUGGUAGACCCAUUCCAUUCCUAGCUUGGCCAGUGACUGGCGAGUGGAAGGCAAUCUGCUACAAGU